rnacentral:lncRNA from 1 species
AAAUCUGAAUUCAUUCACUAUAAAAGGAGGCCUCGUUGAAAUUCUCCAACACACAAAAAACAUACAUCAUCAAGCAAGAAAUAACAUUGAAUCAUUCUUGCACUUUUUCCACAUUUUCACUCAAGGAAGCUAAAGGGAUCAUUAUUUGUCGUCUGGAAGUGCUUUUGAAGGUGAAACUGACACACUCUGUUAUGUAAAAAAGCUCAUUUUGAACUUGUCAUACCCCAAAAUUUU